GUGGUCUUGUUAGCUUGUGUAG
rnacentral:snRNA from 1 species